UAGGGAAUCUUCGGCAAUGGACGGAAGUCUGACCGGGCAACGCCGCGUGAGUGAAGAAGGUUUUCGGAUCGUAAAGCUCUGUUGUAAGAGAAGAACGAGUGUGAGAGUGGAAAGUUCACACUGUGACGGUAUCUUACCAGAAAGGGACGGCUAACUACGUGCCAGCAGCCGCGGUAAUACGUAGGUCCCGAGCGUUGUCCGGAUUUAUUGGGCGUAAAGCGAGCGCAGGCGGUUAGAUAAGUCUGAAGUUAAAGGCUGUGGCUUAACCAUAGUAGGCUUUGGAAACUGUUUAACUUGAGUGCAAGAGGGGAGAGUGGAAUUCCAUGUGUAGCGGUGAAAUGCGUAGAUAUAUGGAGGAACACCGGCGGCGAAAGCGGCUCUCUGGCUUGUAACUGACGCUGAGGCUCGAAAGCGUGGGGAGCAAACAGGAUUAGAUACCCUGGUAGUCCACGCUGUAAACGAUGAGUGCUAGGUGUUAGACCCUUUCCGGGGUUUAGUGCCGUAGCUAACGCAUUAAGCACUCCGCCUGGGGAGUACGACCGCAAGGUUG
rnacentral:rRNA from 1 species